rnacentral:rRNA from 1 species
GACGAACGCUGGCGGCGUGCUUAACACAUGCAAGUCGAACGGAAAGGCCUAGCUUGCUGGGUACUCGAGUGGCGAACGGGUGAGUAACACGUGGGUGAUCUGCCCCUGACUUUGGGAUAAGCCUGGGAAACUGGGUCUAAUACCGGAUAUUCAUUUUUCCUCGCAUGGGGAUUUGUGGAAAGCUUUUGCGGUUGGGGAUGGGCCCGCGGCCUAUCAGCUUGUUGGAGGGGUAAUGGCCUACCAAGGCGACGACGGGUAGCCGACCUGAGAGGGUGAUCGGCCACACUGGGACUGAGACACGGCCCAGACUCCUACGGGAGGCAGCAGUGGGGAAUAUUGCACAAUGGGCGCAAGCCUGAUGCAGCGACGCCGCGUGAGGGAUGACGGCCUUCGGGUUGUAAACCUCUUUCAGCUCCGACGAAGCGCAAGUGACGGUAGGAGCAGAAGAAGCACCGGCCAACUACGUG